GUGCUCACUUCAGCAACACAUAUACUGAAAUUGGAACAAUACAGAGAAGAUUAUCAUGGCCCAUGCACAAGGAUGACACACAAAUUCAUGAAGUAGUCCAUAUUUUG
ensembl:snRNA U6 U6 spliceosomal RNA